GGCUAGAUGUUUGUGUCGAGAGUGGCCAAGAGCUGCCUCAGGCCAGUCACAGACAGGGACUCUGAGGAGCUCCGGGGACCGUUAGAGCCAAACUGUCCCAAGACACCCUCUCCUCCAGCAGGGCUCCCUCCUAACGCUUGGGUCUUAGAGGGACAGGAAAAGCCACAAACCCAAGGAGAUAAGAAAAAGGAGGCCCGGGGAAGUUAAUGGUUCCUCAAGGUCACAACAGGUGAGCAAAUCAACUAUGGAAGACUUCAGGGAUUCUAAGAGACUUCAGUGAGAAGUAGAAAUCAGCCUAUUGAAAGGUGUGGAGACAGGAUAGGAUGCUAGACCUAGGACUAGAGGCCUUGGGGAGAACUCUGCACCUGGCCAAACACCACAGACGAAAGCUACCUUGAAGAGACACUGAUGGCAAAGGUCUCCAGCAGGUGCUUCCCCAUAUACCAGCAGGCAGUUUCAAAGUUGGGAAACUGGGUCAGACUGCCGACUUUCAGUCUUCGCUCCACCUCGUAUGCUCUGCGACCCAAAGCAAAAGUGCAGGUCAGCAUCUUCUCUGCAGUAUAUAAUCUCACAGAGCCACGGAACACAGAGGUCAAGCGGCUCUCCCAGGCUCCCACAGAACUUAGAUCUUCCCACCCUGGAGGCCAGCUCUCUGUUUCUAUUCCCCACAGUGGGAGCACUUCAACUCUGAAACUAGGAGGCGUUCCAGGAGGACCAAGGCUGGCCAGCAGUUCUGGAGCACUGUGACUCAGAAAACGGCUUCUCCUCCAUCAGCCAGGACACCACUCAUUAAACAUCACCAAGAAAAAUGCCCUCCCUUGCCCCUGGAGCCCUGGCAGCGGCUUCUGAAAGGAGAGGCAGGAGGAGAAAGAGGAAGGCGCAGAGCUGCCCUCUGAGCUUCAGGUCCUGGGCACUACACAAAGCCGGGGAGCUCUCGAGGACUUACUUAUCACACCCCCGCUGUGGCAGGAUUCCCGGGAAGCCUCACGUUCGCUCCCAGGCUCCAGCCUGGUGUGGGAAAGGCCCGGUGGUGACUAAUCCUUGCCUGCCCUCUACUGUGCAUUUCCCAAACUACAGAGGGCCAGUGGAGGACACCAUCACCCAAGAAACUCUAAGCCAGAAGUUGGGGGACGGGGGUGUAGGAGAAUGGUAGGAAGACAGUGGGGAAGAGAGGGAGAAAAAGUGACCUGUGAAGGUCACAAGGAGAAAAGGCAUCAGAGGCAGGAUUAGAACUCAAGGCUUGACUCCAAAACCAGUGUUCUUUCCCUACAGUCUAGGGAAAUGUAUUCUCCAUGAAACCCUUCUCUUAUAAUA